GAUUCUUGUACCUACCACAUAAUUAAACAAAAAGGUUGAGUUAAAAAAAAAAAAAAAACCGGAUUAGAAGUGGACUACGGGCCGGCAACAAAAUUGGCAGCAUGAAGAGAUCGAGCUCAACUAUCAAGAGAACGAGUAAAUAUAAUUUGAGACCUCACUAAAGCUCUACAACGUACAAAAAAACAAGGAAGAAAAACUGGAAUUCGAUCACUAAGUGCUAAAUGGACUCGUCAACUGGCAAGGCUCUUCCGUUUUUUGCAAAAAAUGACAUCCCCCUAAAACAAGAAAAAAAGGAAAGUGCAGAACAACGCAAUGAAGACUUGAUGCUGCGCCAUCCCAAUGCCACAGGCAGAAAGAAAACCAGUUUUCCGAAACCAAGAAAAAGUCAUAGUCUACCCAGAUUUGCAUACUUUCGCAAAAGGAUGAAUAAAACUAUUUGCGGUAAGACAUUGUGUGUA